UCAUGCUUUUAUCUGAUGGUAAUGACUU
rnacentral:sRNA from 1 species